rnacentral:rRNA from 1 species
UACAGAGGUCUCAAGCGUUGUUCGGAUUCAUUGGGCGUAAAGGGUGUGUAGGUGGCGCGCUAAGUCGGGUGUGAAAUUUCGGAGCUUAACUCCGAAACUGCAUUCGAUACUGGCGUGCUUGAGGACUGGAGAGGAGACUGGAAUUUACGGUGUAGCGGUGAAAUGCGUAGAUAUCGUAAGGAAGACCAGUGGCGAAGGCGGGUCUCUGGACAGUUCCUGACGCUGAGGCACGAAGGUCAGGGGGAGCAAACGGG